rnacentral:rRNA from 1 species
AUGAGGGCAGGUAAGGAAAACUUAAACAAUCAAUUACCAAGGUCGCUUGGAUUACAAGCACAUGAUCCAUUUAGAGAUAUCACUAAUGUGGCUAAUUGCCGACAAUCAUUGGAAGAUAAAUCUGGUUGUGUCCAAGCAUCCUCUUCAGCACAAGGUUUUGUUCAGUCUGUGGGCGAUUCUGUUGCUAGAACUCAGCAUUCGGUAAAUCCAUUUGCUGUAUAUAGUGAUCAUAAUACUUCCUCAAUUGAGUGUAGAGGUGCUGGGCCAACAAAUGCUCUUGAGAAAAAGCAUUAUAAUAAUCGGGAAAGAUACUUGUGUAUGACUCCAGAACAGCGUGAUGUCUAUCUGCAAAGAAAUCGCGAGUACAAAUGGAGUAGGAGGCAAAAUCAUGAUACAUAUAGCAAUGGUAUGCAAUCUGCAGUUAGCCAUACCAGUAGAAGUAGCAAUGGUGGAACAAACUCAUCAACUCAAACAAGUAAAAAAACAAAAGUGGCCGCAACUGGAGAUCCAAGCAUGCCUCCAUCUGAUAAAAUUAUCUUUCAAGAAAGUUUAGUCAACCCAGUUAUUGGAAGGCAGAUCAUGUUAAAUCCAUCUGUCUUAUCGACAUCAGAUUGCACUUCUGAAACUACUAUUUCGCAAAAGCAGAUACCGACAACAUACUUGAUUAAUAGUGGUGAGGACAAUAUAAGAAGAUCGUCUGAUGGUGCGAGUUGUAGCACUGCUACACAAUCUUCUAUGUAUAUAAAAAGGAGAUGUGGUCAUGUGUCGACAAUUGUUGGUAAAGAUAAGCAGGCAGCAACAUACUUGGACAUGGGAAAUGAUUAUAAGAGAAGAAGACUGUCUAAUGGGGGUUAUAGCAGUGCUUCACAAUUUUCGUGUGGUACUGCAUGUUGUAUCAUUGCACAAAAGGAAAAUGGAUAUACAUGUGACUUGCUUGACCAAUAUGUUCCUGUGCAAAUGCAACACCAUGUCACCGGAGAACAAGAAGACCAUGACAACACCAUUUACAUGCCAAGGGAUAAUUUUCCUGCUGUACAGGAUGAAACUAGGCAAGAUGAAGAUAUGGCUGAAAACAGUGAUGAAGAUGAAGAAGGAAAUGUAUUCCUUGGACAAGGUUUUGAAUAUCUUUCAUAUCGAGAACUAAACCGUGAUAUUUGUGGAACACAAGUUGAUCUGUACGACCGUAUAUAUCAAAAUUUACCCGCUGGUCAUCAUGUUCUGAAGCCAAUGCCUAAUUGCAUUCAUUGCAAUGCUAAAAGGUUCCAGUUUGAAAAACCAACAUUUUGUUGCAUGGGCGGAAGGGUCAAGAUAGUAAUACCCCAUGUUCCUGCUGAAAUGCGUCGACUGUACACGAGCCAAGAUCCAGAAGCAAAGUACUUCCAAGAUAACAUACGGAGAUGUAGUUAUUGA